rnacentral:tRNA from 1 species
UUCUUGAUCGUAUAACGGUUAGUAUGCUCGCUUGUCACUGCAAUUCUGCACUGAUCGCGGGAGAUCGGAGUUCGAUUCUCCGUCAGGAAG